GUCUAUCGAACAGGAAAACAUUGUCUGAUAAAAUCAUUUUGAUACACCCAAGCAACAAAUUUAUAGUAAAAAUUGGUUUAAAAAGUAAUAAUGAACCGUUUAUGGUCGUAUUUGGUGAACUUAUAAAUCAUAGCUUAGCUUAUAUACAUAUAUUAUAUAUCACUUAGCUUCUUUAGUCAUGUGGAUGUAUACCGCCGUCAUUAGAAAAAUUCUUACAUAUUGAUCACUGGUUUGGUGGCCAGCAUCAAAGAAACAAUAUAAUAUCGGAAAAUUAAAUGGAAUACGGAGUGCAGUCUGUGCAAGUUUUGCCGAGGCUAUUAACAGACGUUUUCAUAUGAAAGUAGCAACAUUUUCUGGAUAAAAGAAUUAAUGAGAUAGGUGGCUGUUACAGGAAACGAUUUUCUGAACCAGCUCUAAACAAAUCGGACUAUAUCCUUUCAAGCACACUUUAUGCCCAAUACAUCGGCCCUUAAAAUUGCGUUAAAACAUGUUCAAAGAGGACGGCGGAGGCAUUCGAACUUCUGGAGAGGAUGAAGGACCUUCAGAUUACUCUCCAUCACGCAAGGGCAGCUUCCGCCAAUCUAUUGCUCUAUUUGGGGAGGAACAGAAGCGACGAUGCCUUUAUACAAGAGUGUGGCUGAGAAGCAAUAGUAUCUCUGGGUUUAAAACAAAAAGCCAUUGGCUGCUGGCGACCAAUAACACAGCAACGAGGAUGUCGUCACCGCCAGACUAGAGGACGGAACAACUUCCACAAGAGCAGGUUCUUCGUUACCGAAAUUGACAAGAAUUUUAUUUGGCCAAGGGCUGUUUUAUCUGCGAUCUAAUCCUGCCUGAUUGGUA